ensembl:lncRNA
AAAGAUCUGUACGCAGCGGCUUCAAACCGUCUUUGCUAGCCAUCUGCCAUGGUGGGUGGGUGAAAGACCCGAGCUAACAUUGAAAUUUCUUUCACUUGUUGGGUGCAUUUCCUAAAGGUCAGGCAUAGGAUCCCGCUCCAGGAGCGGUGCUUUUUUGCUUUUUUCAGUUUGGACUGCUGGGUCCUUUUUCGGUUUUGGGACAGCUGUGUCCCCUUCGGGGCCAGGCCCCUGGCAACUCCCACGGGCAGACGUGCAUCCGUAGAGGAGCUUUUUGCCGGUUCCCCACCUGCCUCACCCAUGGGAAAUGCAUAGAGGAACCUUUCUGGUUUCAUCCAACAAGCAGGUAAAAAGACAAAAGCGGUUUACGGUUGCCGCCGUUUUGGUCAUGUGACCUACCUGUAGGCACGCACAGCUCCAGCGGCCUAUCGAGCAAACCUGUCUGCCAGAUUUUUGAUUUCUGCCAGAUCUUUUUGCUUUUUAUUUUAUUUUUGUCUUUUUCUUUUUAUUUUAUUUUUUGUCUAUGAUUUCUUCUUUCACUGGCUCUGUUGUUCAUGGCUUGUUUACUAAAUACUGUGCCUUUCCAGGGCCCUCUGUUUAAGUCUACUCUGUCCCUUUAAAUCUCCUGUCUGUUUGCUAUAAUGUACGGAUCAGAGAUUACAACUGACUCCCCCUUUACUGUUAUCCAGUCCUGCUUAUCUCUGUACCUGAAUUUAACUUUAUACUUAUCUAGCUCUAUAUACAACUUAAAUUAAACUAUUAAGUCUCAUAUUUCUAAAUUGCUAUAUAUCUUUAAAUGAUGAUAAACAUUUAAAGUCUAUUCAAAUUAACAAAAUAUUUAUACCACUCAGUUUAUCCUGUAAGCCGUUUACAAAGGUACAGCUUUUAUUACAAAAAAGGUAUUUUUUCUCUAACUAAAGGCAAACUUAACUGCUAAGAUACUAAACAGACAGCCCUCAAAUGCUCAGAGAUCUAGAGAAUAUGGCAUUUAAAAUGUUUUGUUAAAAAGCUUUUUGUAACAGAGAGAUAGGCCAGCUGCUGGCCCCACCCCAUUUCCUCCGAGAAGACUGGGCACUGAAGAAACUUCAUCUCAGUGACAACGCUGGUCACUGAGCAACCCUGCCCUUCACCUCAACUGGUACAAAGUAUUCCAGACCAUGGACAAGAGGACAACGGAAUCGACUUUCCCGGCGUUGCUUGGGCCAACGGAUUCUUGUAAGUUCCAGGGAGCCGAAUCAGAUCCAAACAGGUCAGAUUCACUCCAGGUCUAAGAGGCGCCAGGGAGUUGCAUACAGCCUGGACUACAAUGAAACAACCAGCUUCCCCAGGACGUGGCAGCACCCCAACCUUCUCGGGUCCCCCAAAGAUGGUCAACGCCCCCCAUGUCAGCAGGAAGCAGUCUUAAGAAGUCGACGCCCUUAUUCCUUAACCUGCCAUGUCUAAACACCCACCUUUUUUUAAUAAUAAGUAGAGGUGGGAAUGAAAGGUUCAGGCAUUAUGCUGGCCUGCCCCUGUUAUCUGGUGGAAUCCACUCAGGCAAUACCCUGGUCAGCCCAAGGUUCCAUGGGAAAGAAGUCUGUACGCAGGUGCAGAGGACCCCUUUAAAAGAUAGGCCCCUGCCCUCUCUCUCUCUCUCUCCCCCUGUUCCUGCUCUCUGUCCCCUCUCUCUGUUUCCCGCUCUGUCUCUCUAUGGCGACCGGCCAUGGCGGUCAGCCAUUACCCUGUUACUCUUCUUAGUCUACCCAUUCUGCCAGUCCUUAUAAUAAACUUAUAGUCAAUAUGUCUGUCUCAAUAUUUCUCUUUUCUUCUUUUUAAACAAAAGAAUAACAAACAUGGGGUUAGCUCGUUAAAUUGCAAUAAAGCCUCAUGCAGUUUGCA